AUCUUAUAAGUAUACAAAGUACAUUUGACUUCCAAUCAAAAAGUUUUAGCUUACCCCUAAAAUAAGAUA
rnacentral:tRNA from 1 species